UUGUUACUCAGAGUUUCAUGCCUGAGUUUACAGACAAUCUUCGGACAACUAAAGUUCUGUUCAGAACAGAACUUUAGUUGUCCGAAGAUUGUCUGUAAACUCAGGCAUGAAACUCUGAGUAACAA